rnacentral:rRNA from 1 species
GACGAACGCUGGCGGCGUGCUUAACACAUGCAAGUCGAACGGAAAGACCCUGCUUUUGUGGGGUGCUCGAGUGGCGAACGGGUGAGUAACACUUGAGUAACCUGCCCUUGACUUUGGGAUAACUUCAGGAAACUGGGGCUAAUACCGGAUAGGAGCUCCUGCUGCAUGGUGGGGGUUGGAAAGUUUCGGCGGUUGGGGAUGGACUCGCGGCUUAUCAGCUUGUUGGUGGGGUAGUGGCUUACCAAGGCUUUGACGGGUAGCCGGCCUGAGAGGGUGACCGGCCACAUUGGGACUGAGAUACGGCCCAGACUCCUACGGGAGGCAGCAGUGGGGAAUAUUGCACAAUGGGCGGAAGCCUGAUGCAGCAACGCCGCGUGCGGGAUGACGGCCUUCGGGUUGUAAACCGCUUUCGCCUGUGACGAAGCGUGAGUGACGGUAAUGGGUAAAGAAGCACCGGCUAACUACGUG